rnacentral:rRNA from 1 species
GAUGAACGCUAGCGGCAGGCUUAAUACAUGCAAGUCGAGGGGCAGCGCAGUGUAGCAAUACAUGGGCGGCGACCGGCAAACGGGUGCGGAACACGUACAGAACCUUCCUUCGAGCGGGGCAUAGCCCGGCGAAAGCCGGAUUAAUACCCCAUAGUAUGCAGAAGAGGCAUCUCUUUUGUCUUAAAGAUUUAUCACUUGAAGAUGGCUGUGCGGCUGAUUAGGUAGUUGGCGGGGUAACGGCCCACCAAGCCUACGAUCAGUAACUGGUGUGAGAGCACGACCAGUCACACGGGCACUGAGACACGGGCCCGACUCCUACGGGAGGCAGCAGUAAGGAAUAUUGGUCAAUGGACGCAAGUCUGAACCAGCCAUGCCGCGUGGAGGAUGAAGGCCCUCUGGGUUGUAAACUUCUUUUAUUUGGGACGAAAAAGGGACUUUCUAGUUCAACUGACGGUACCAGAUGAAUAAGCACCGGCUAACUCCGUGCCAGCAGCCGCGGUAAUACGGAGGGUGCAAGCGUUAUCCGGAUUCACUGGGUUUAAAGGGUGCGUAGGUGGGUUGGUAAGUCAGUGGUGAAAUCCCCGAGCUUAACUUGGGAACUGCCAUUGAUACUAUCAGUCUUGAAUACCGUGGAGGUCAGCGGAAUAUGUCAUGUAGCGGUGAAAUGCUUAGAUAUGACAUAGAACACCAAUUGCGAAGGCAGCUGGCUACACGAAUAUUGACACUGAGGCACGAAAGCGUGGGGAUCAAACAGGAUUAGAUAUCCUGGUAGUCACGCCCUAAACUAUGGAUACUCGACAUACGCGAUACACUGUGUGUGUCUGAGCGAAAGCAUUAAGUAUCCCACCUGGGAAGUACGACCGCAA